rnacentral:lncRNA from 1 species
AUCUCUAGACAAGUUAGUCCAGAUGAUUUUGGGGUUAACAUGUUGGCAUUUCCUGGCACUAUUACUGCUAGCUGAAUAAGAGUUGAAAGUUGGAUUUGAUAAAGAAAAUGUGGUACAUACACACCAUGGAUACUAUGCAGUCAUAAAACAGAAUGAGAUCAUGUCCUUUGCAGGAACACGAAUGGAGCUGGAGGCCAUUAUCCUCACCAAACUAACACAGGAACAAAAAACCAAAUACCACAUGUUCUCACUUUUAAGUGGGAGCUAAAUGAGGAGAACACAUGGACACAAAGAGGGGAACAACACACACUGAGGCCUACUUGAGGGUGGAUGGUGGGAGGAGAGAGAGGAUCAGAAAAAGUAACUGUUGGAUAGUUCCUGGGUGAUUAAAUAAUCUGUACAACAAACCUGAGUUUACCGAUAUAAUAAACCUUCUCAUGUACCCCUGAACUUAAAAGUUUAAAAAUCAAAAAUAAAAAUAAAAAGAUUGCUGAUUAUACUUUAAGUAUUUUAUUGUCAUAAAAAUUUAAUCCAAUUUAUAUUGUCACCAGCAAUGUCAAAGUGUACCAAAUUUAUCUCAAUUUUUAUUAGUUAUUAUUCUUUUGCAAAUUAAAUUGGUAUAAGUUCAUGCUUUUAAUUUACAAUUUUUAAAUUUCUAGUAAGGCUGAAUAAUUUUCAGUUAUUUUUUGCUAGUCUUUCCUGACUGACUUAUUUUUACAUAUAUAUUUUGGAUUGUGAUUCAUUCAGAUAAGUUCCUUACACAUUGUGGAUAUUAAGCCUUUUUUAUAUUUUGGAAUUCUUCCCUAAUGAAGAAUUUUUGGCAUUGUAAUUUAGUUAUUGUGGGUAGCAACAUGGUCUGUCUUCAUGAUCAAAGCUGCCAGCUCUCUCCUUUAUAAUUUCUUCUAUUGCCCCAAAUGUGAGGACGUUAUUAUUCCUCCACAGACAAAACAAGUGUUUCUGCUAUGUUUUUGACAAUUGGGUUUUAUUUUUGUCUGUGACUGUGUAAGCUGCUUGCGUUUAAAAGCAGUAGUGAUUUCUUUAAAAGAGAAAGAGGGCCAAAGCCUGAGAAGAGGGGUUUUUUGAUGGCUGCGGGUAGAAGACAAUGACUGGAAUUCAGCAGGCUGAGGCCUUCAAGCUCAAUUAAAGAUGACUAGAAUGUUGUGAUAGGACAAAACCUUGCUCCUAUAUCACCAGUUCAUCAAAGGAUUUUUAAAGUGUUUUUCUGUUUUUUAUGAUGUAGUCAUUUAUUGCUGUCUUGUGAGGCACGUAUGUUGUCCCAAAUUGCUCCUCUGCAAAAUAUAUCAGCAGCACCAAGGAACACAGGAUGGCGGAUUAGCCAAACACACUGCUCAGCUCUGGCUGAAGGAGACCAGGAGAUGUCAUUUUUCUACCUACAACCAGUAGUCUUUGCCCUUGGCCAUACAUCGCAUUCUUCCAGAGAGCUGGGAACUCCAACACCUGGGUCCUAGCCUUUGGUUUCUAAUGUUAGUGGUCUUGAGAGCAUCCUCAUUAUUGGGAUUUUUUUUAACACUCCCCAAAUGAUUUUAAUGUGCAGCCAAGGUUGAAACCCACUGUAAUCAUUUCAUCAAGAAAUGCAAAGAAGAUAUCCAAAAGAAAAGAAGUCAAUAUAUUGAAGAGAUAUCUGUACUCCCAUGUUUAUUGCAACACUAUUCACAAUAUCCAAAAUAUGGACUUAACCUAAGUGCCCGUCAGUGAAUGAAUAAAGAAAAUGUGGUAUAGAUACACAGUGAAAUAUUAUUCAUCCAUUAAAAAGAAUGAAUUCCUGUCAUUUGCAGCAACAUAGAUAGGACUGGAGGCCAUUAUGUUAAGUGAAAUGGGCCAGGCACAGAAAGAAAUAGAUCAUAUGUGCUCAUUCAUAUGUGGGACCGAAAAAAGUGGAUCUCAUAAAGACAGAGCUUAGACUGGUGGUUACCAGAGGCUGGGAAGAGAAGUUGGGAAUUGGA